AUCCUGGCUCAGGACGAACGCUGGCGGCGUGCUUAACACAUGCAAGUCGAACGAUGAAGCCUUUCGGGGUGGAUUAGUGGCGAACGGGUGAGUAACACGUGGGCAAUCUGCCCUUCACUCUGGGACAAGCCCUGGAAACGGGGUCUAAUACCGGAUAACACUCUGUCCCGCAUGGGACGGGGUUAAAAGCUCCGGCGGUGAAGGAUGAGCCCGCGGCCUAUCAGCUUGUUGGUGGGGUAAUGGCCUACCAAGGCGACGACGGGUAGCCGGCCUGAGAGGGCGACCGGCCACACUGGGACUGAGACACGGCCCAGACUCCUACGGGAGGCAGCAGUGGGGAAUAUUGCACAAUGGGCGAAAGCCUGAUGCAGCGACGCCGCGUGAGGGAUGACGGCCUUCGGGUUGUAAACCUCUUUCAGCAGGGAAGAAGCGAGAGUGACGGUACCUGCAGAAGAAGCGCCGGCUAACUACGUGCCAGCAGCCGCGGUAAUACGUAGGGCGCAAGCGUUGUCCGGAAUUAUUGGGCGUAAAGAGCUCGUAGGCGGCUUGUCACGUCGGAUGUGAAAGCCCGGGGCUUAACCCCGGGUCUGCAUUCGAUACGGGCUAGCUAGAGUGUGGUAGGGGAGAUCGGAAUUCCUGGUGUAGCGGUGAAAUGCGCAGAUAUCAGGAGGAACACCGGUGGCGAAGGCGGAUCUCUGGGCCAUUACUGACGCUGAGGAGCGAAAGCGUGGGGAGCGAACAGGAUUAGAUACCCUGGUAGUCCACGCCGUAAACGUUGGGAACUAGGUGUUGGCGACAUUCCACGUCGUCGGUGCCGCAGCUAACGCAUUAAGUUCCCCGCCUGGGGAGUACGGCCGCAAGGCUAAAACUCAAAGGAAUUGACGGGGGCCCGCACAAGCAGCGGAGCAUGUGGCUUAAUUCGACGCAACGCGAAGAACCUUACCAAGGCUUGACAUAUACCGGAAAGCAUCAGAGAUGGUGCCCCCCUUGUGGUCGGUAUACAGGUGGUGCAUGGCUGUCGUCAGCUCGUGUCGUAGAGAUGUUGGGUUAAGUCCCGCAACGAGCGCAACCCUUGUUCUGUGUUGCCAGCAUGCCCUUCGGGGUGAUGGGGACUCACAGGAGACUGCCGGGGUCAACUCGGAGGAAGGUGGGGACGACGUCAAGUCAUCAUGCCCCUUAUGUCUUGGGCUGCACACGUGCUACAAUGGCCGGUACAAUGAGCUGCGAUGCCGCGAGGCGGAGCGAAUCUCAAAAAGCCGGUCUCAGUUCGGAUUGGGGUCUGCAACUCGACCCCAUGAAGUCGGAGUUGCUAGUAAUCGCAGAUCAGCAUUGCUGCGGUGAAUACGUUCCCGGGCCUUGUACACACCGCCCGUCACGUCACGAAAGUCGGUAACACCCGAAGCCGGUGGCCCAACCCCUUGUGGGAGGGAGCUGUCGAAGGUGGGACUGGCGAUUGGGACGAAGUCGUAACAAGGUAGCCGUACCGAAAGGUGCGGCUG
rnacentral:rRNA from 1 species